CCUACGGGAGGCAGCAGUGAGGAAUAUUGGUCAAUGGUCGGGAGACUGAACCAGCCAAGCCGCGUGAGGGAUGAAGGUACAGAGUAUCGUAAACCUCUUUUGUCAGGGCACAAAGGCGGGGACGUGUCCCCGGAUGAGUGUACCUGAAGAAAAAGCCUCGACUAACUCCGUGCCAGCAGCCGCGGUAAUCGGGGGGAUGCGAGCGUUAUCCGGAUGUAUGGGGUUUAAGGGGUGCGCAGGCGGUUUGUUAAGUCAGCGGUCAAAGCCCGGGGCUCACCCCCGACCCGCCGUUGAAACUGGCAGUCUCGAGUGGGAGAGAAGUAUGCGGAAUGCGCGGUGUAGCGGUGAAAUGCAUAGAUAUCGCGCAGAACUCCGAUUGUGAAGGCAGCAUGCCGGCUCCACACUGACGCUGAGGCACGAAAGCGUGGGUAUCGAACAGGAUUAGAUACCCGAGUAGUC
rnacentral:rRNA from 1 species